UAAGCCAACACCAAAUUCUCAUUUUCAUACAAUAUACUGAUAUUUGCUAUGAAAAGAAUUUACAGAGAACAUGAGGUAUUUUACAAACUUUCUCUAAUAUACACAUACUUUUCCUGUUUCACCAUCAACUCCAGGCAAAUUAAUUCUAGAUACGAACGUGACGAUGGGAGGAGCAUCAGGGUAAUUGGCAUCGCAGUGAAUCUUCAAACUGUAAAUGCGAUUUUCAUGAACGCUCUAAAUUAAUAACAAAUUAGUACAAAUUGAAAGUUAAAAGUAUUAAAACAGGAUAAGCUUCAAAGUGUAUUGAUUCGAAAGUCUUCAUAAAUUUCAAAGCUAGUCCCCGGUCAUUUUUUUUACAUCAAUUUAACACUUGAAAUAUACCCCAAUAGAAACAUACAUGGGCAGGUCCUAAAAUCGUUGCAUUCCAGUCGGACAAUGUAAUAUCAUCGGCGUUCGUCAAACCAUAUGAGCAAGAACUCUCUCCGAGGCCUUUUUCGCCCUUUUCUAGCUCUUCAAGUAAUUUAAAAUUGCGAGGGCUAUCAAAAUUAGUAAUUGUUAUCGACUUUAAUAUGUCUAAUCAUACACUUUUGCCAUCGUUUGUGGUACUUGGUUAAUGGAUGCGGUGCAUUCGGAUCUCACAGUAUCUUUGUUGAUCAUUUCAAAACAAGAUCUGAAGAUUCAAAUUGGUGCUUUUAUAUUGAAUUAUUGUAAUUUGAAUCUAAAUUGUGUCUAGAUUAAUAGUCCUAGCAGAUCCGUGAGUACCUUCUCUUCCUUACUUGAUUAAUACAUUACAAAUACAAAUGCAUGAUUACAGAGAAUAAAUUUUUCUAAUAUUCGAUCAACGAAACUAUUCGAAGAAUAAAGAAUACAGGAUAGAUACCAAAACCAUCAAUAAUUACUGUAACAUUUGGUUAAAGUUGGGUCUCGAAAACAUUCGAACCAAGGCUAGCAAUCUGUCAAAGUAUAUUUCAACAAUUACUUUAUAGAAUAUUCAAUACUGGUUUAGUGAACCUGUCACAGGCUGCAAUUUCAAUAUUUUUUCCCUACAUUGGA